GACGAACGCUGGCGGCGUGCUUAACACAUGCAAGUCGAACGAUGAAGCGGUGCUUGCACCGUGGAUUAGUGGCGAACGGGUGAGUAACACGUGAGUAACCUGCCCCCUUCUUUGGGAUAAGCAUUGGAAACGGUGUCUAAUACUGAAUAUUCACACAUGGGCGCAUGUUUGUGUGUGGAAAGUUUUUCGGUGGGGGAUGGGCUCGCGGCCUAUCAGCUUGUUGGUGGGGUGAUGGCCUACCAAGGCUUUGACGGGUAGCCGGCCUGAGAGGGUGACCGGUCACACUGGGACUGAGAUACGGCCCAGACUCCUACGGGAGGCAGCAGUGGGGAAUAUUGCACAAUGGGCGAAAGCCUGAUGCAGCGACGCCGCGUGAGGGAUGACGGCCUUCGGGUUGUAAACCUCUUUCAGUAAGGACGCAGGGGCAUCUUUGGGUGUUUUGACGGUACUUGCAGAAGAAGCGCCGGCUAACUACGUGCCAGCAGCCGCGGUAAUACGUAGGGCGCAAGCGUUGUCCGGAAUUAUUGGGCGUAAAGAGCUUGUAGGCGGUUUGUCGCGUCUGUCGUGAAAUCCAGCAGCUUAACUGUUGGCUUGCGGUGGGUACGGGCAGACUAGAGUGUGGUAGGGGAGACUGGAAUUCCUGGUGUAGCGGUGGAAUGCGCAGAUAUCAGGAGGAACACCGAUGGCGAAGGCAGGUCUCUGGGCCAUUACUGACGCUGAGAAGCGAAAGCGUGGGGAGCGAACAGGAUUAGAUACCCUGGUAGUCCACGCCGUAAACGUUGGGCACUAGGUGUGGGGGGCUUUUUGGUCUUCUGCGCCGUAGCUAACGCAUUAAGUGCCCCGCCUGGGGAGUACGGCCGCAAGGCUAAAACUCAAAGGAAUUGACGGGGGCCCGCACCAGCGGCGGAGCCUGCGGAUUAAUUUGAUGCAACGCGAAGAACCUUACCAAGGCUUGACAUGCACUGGAACCCUGCAGAGAUGUGGUGGUUUUUGGACUGGUGUACAGGUGGUGCAUGGUUGUUGUCAGCUCGUGUCGUGAGAUGUUGGGUUAAGUCCCGCAACGAGCGCAACCCUUGUUUUGUGUUGCCAGCCCAUUAUGGUGGGGACUCGCGAGAGACUGCCGGGGUUAACUCGGAGGAAGGUGGGGAUGACGUCAAAUCAUCAUGCCCCUUAUGUCUUGGGCUUCACGCAUGCUACAAUGGCCGGUACAGAGGGUUGCGAUACUGUGAGGUUGAGCUAAUCCCUUAAAGCCGGUCUCAGUUCGGAUUGGGGUCUGCAACUCGACCCCAUGAAGGCGGAGUCGCUAGUAAUCGCAGAUCAGCAAUGCUGCGGUGAAUACGUUCUCGGGCCUUGUACACACCGCCCGUCACGUCACGAAAGUUGGUAACACCCGAAGCCCAUGGCCUAACCGUUUUUGCGGGGGGAGUGGUCGAAGGUGGGAUUAGCGAUUGGGACG
rnacentral:rRNA from 2 species